rnacentral:lncRNA from 1 species
GGGUUUCCUGUGGUCGGGAGGCGAGGCAGCCAGGGCAGGAUUGGGCUCCUGACCUGCAGGCCACGGGCGAGCUCUCUCUAGGGCCCUGAUUUGCCCGAAGAAGGCGCUUGGUGAAGGUGAAAGGUUUACGCAUCCAAGUAGCUAGAACCUCUUUCCAGAACUUCUGCUGAUGCACUUAGUCUUGCAGCCAUUGAUUAUUAUAGCUCAGCAAAGUUCAGUUCAACUUUCGGAAGAAGGAUGUGAGCUGGAAUGGGCAGGGUCAAGAUUUGACAGGAAAAGACACUUCACUGGAGGUAUCUGC